rnacentral:rRNA from 1 species
UACGUAGGGUGCGAGCGUUGUCCGGAAUUACUGGGCGUAAAGAGCUCGUAGGUGGUUUGUCGCGUUGUUCGUGAAAACUCACAACUCAAUUGUGGGCGUGCGGGCGAUACGGGCAGACUGGAGUACUGCAGGGGAGACUGGAAUUCCUGGUGUAGCGGUGAAAUGCGCAGAUAUCAGGAGGAACACCGGUGGCGAAGGCGGGUCUCUGGGCCGAUACUGACGCUGAGGAGCGAAAGCGUGGGGGAGCGAACAGG